CGGGGGCGGUCCCUGGCGGCCGCGCAUUCCAGCGCCGCCGAGCGCAGCCCGGGGGCCGAGCCGCGCGUCCCGGCCACUCCCGCGCGCUCCCGCCGCCUUGGGCUCCGAGGUCCCGGCACGUGCCGCGCCGUGACCCCGGGGCUGGGCCGCCCCCCGCGAGCCGGGGAAAGCGCUCGAGCCGUCCUUUGGCCCGAGCCUCCCGCAGACCCGGCGCGAUCCGGCUGCGGCGGGGGCCGCGGGCUUUCCUGCGAAGCCGCUCUGCAGAUCCCCGGCCCCGAAGUUGCAGCCACCUCCUCGGCCGAUCUGGGGCCUCGUGGGAGCCGCAGCUCGCGUGGGUGAGCCCAGCCCCGCGUGGAGGCGCCAAGAGUUUGAAGUGGGGUGUGGGUUCCCUUGGUCCGGCACCAGCAGUUUCCCCAUCCUGUCUCCCGGCCCUGUUUCUCCAUCUGUGAAAGGGAGAAAAUAUCCUUGGCGUGCUGAGAGAGCGGGUGUGCAGAGUAUCAUGGAGAGAAGCCUUCCUUCCAAGGGCUCCCCUCCCCCUCCUGCCCCCUCCUCUCCUCCUCCCCCUCCUGCCCCCUCCUCCUUCUCCGCCCCAGCCCACCUGUUUACUUUGGACUUGGUUGUUCCAGUCGUUGCACCCCUGCUCUCCCCACCCCUCCACAACUUCCGUGAGGAUAAAGACCGUCUGUCCAAGCCUCAUCUCCGAGGCCUCCUCAGCCCUUGGCCCAGCGCCUGGCAAAUAGGUGCUCAGUACUGUUCACGCGUGGAAGAAGGGGCGGUGUAAGCCGUAAAAACCUGCACACCUGUGGGAGGUUGCUAUCUGAGUGGCCAGGUUGGACUCUUGUUCCUACAGCUCCGCCCUUUCUUCCUGACUGGCCUUGAUCCUGUUGGCACGCGGUGGGGGGGUGGGGUGCGCUCAGGAGUCUCCCGCUUCUCUAUAGAUUCCUCAAAGCUCUCGGCCAUGGUAGUGAAAGCUGCUCAGACGUUGAGGUCUCAAAGAUUCCUUGAGUACCUGUGGUACCACGGCUGUGGGGAAGUGGGAAGGCUUGCAAAU
rnacentral:lncRNA from 1 species